CGUAGGGUGCGAGCGUUAAUCGGAAUUACUGGGCGUAAAGCGUGCGCAGGCGGUUUUGUAAGACAGGCGUGAAAUCCCCGGGCUCAACCUGGGAACUGCGCUUGUGACUGCAAGGCUAGAGUACGGCAGAGGGGGUGGAAUUCCACGUGUAGCAGUGAAAUGCGUAGAGAUGUGGAGGAACACCAAUGGCGAAGGCAGCCCCCUGGGUCGAUACUGACGCUCAUGCACGAAAGCGUGGGUAGCAAACAGGAUUAGAUACCCUGGUAGUCCACGCCCUAAACGAUGUCAACUAGGUGUUGGGAGGGUAAAACCUUUUAGUACCGGAGCUAACGCGUGAAGUUGACCGCCUGGGGAGUACGGCCGCAAGGUUA
rnacentral:rRNA from 1 species